GGGUUGUGAGGUUAAGCGACUAAGCGUACACGGUGGAUGCCCUGGCAGUCAGAGGCGAUGAAGGACGUGCUAAUCUGCGAAAAGCGUCGGUAAGGUGAUAUGAACCGUUACAGCCGGCGAUGUCCGAAUGGGGAAACCCAGUGUGAUUCGUCACACUAUCGUUAACUGAAUACAUAGGUUAACGAGGCGAACCGGGGGAACUGAAACAUCUAAGUACCCCGAGGAAAAGAAAUCAACCGAGAUUCCCCCAGUAGCGGCGAGCGAACGGGGAGCAGCCCAGAGUCUGAAUCAGCUUGUGUGUUAGU
rnacentral:rRNA from 1 species